rnacentral:rRNA from 1 species
AUACGUAGGGGGCUAGCGUUAUCCGGAUUUACUGGGCGUAAAGGGUUGCGUAGGUGGUUUCUUAAGCCAGGAGUGAAAGGCUACGGCUCAACCGUAGUAAGCUCUUGAAACUGGGAAACUUGAGUGCAGGAGAGGAAAGUGGAAUUCCUAGUGUAGCGGUGAAAUGCGUAGAUAUUAGGAGGAACACCAGUAGCGAAGGCGGCUUUCUGGACUGUAACUGACACUGAGGCACGAAAGCGUGGGGAGC